rnacentral:rRNA from 1 species
AUACGGAGGGCGCAAGCGUUGCCCGGAAUCACUGGGUGUAAAGGGUGCGUAGGCGGGGCUGUAAGUCAGAGGUGAAAGCCCUCGGCUCAACCGGGGAAUUGCCUCUGAUACUGCAGCUCUUGAGUCCCGGAGAGGCCGCUGGAAUUCCUGGUGUAGCGGUGAAAUGCGUAGAUAUCAGGAGGAACACCGGAGGCGAAGGCGGGCGGCUGGACGGGGACUGACGCUGAGGCACGAAAGCGUGGGGAGCAAACAGGAUUAGAUACCCUAGUAGUCC